rnacentral:lncRNA from 1 species
ACUCACCAGCUAUUGUGCAUGGCAUCCACUGCUCCAUUCCACUGGUGCAUUUCUCCCUGAAGGCAUCUGGUGUCAUCCACUCUGUAGAUUCAAUCUUCUUUUCUUUGGUCACAAGCUAGAAGCCAGGAAGAAAGGAGGGGAUUGCCCCUUCCUUUUUCUCUGUUUUGGUCUGUCUUUUCAGUUUCUCUGUAGGCUCCAGUUUUCCCUUCAAAUCCUUCCUGGGUCCCAGGGAUCCACCUCCCUCCUUUUCUUUCCCAAGUUGUUAUUUUCCAGUGUCUGGAUUCCGAAUCUUGGAGAGGCUGAUUUGUUGCUGCUUACUGCUCUGCCAUCUUCCCGGAAAUCUCAAGAUUUACAUUUAUUAAGAGUAUGGCCUUGGAGCCAAUACCAGCACCCAGGAGGAGGCUCCCUGGCAGCCAUUCCACUGCUCCCAGGGCAGAG